GACGAACGCUGGCGGCGUGCUUAACACAUGCAAGUCGAACGGAAAGGCCCUGCUUUUGUGGGGUGCUCGAGUGGCGAACGGGUGAGUAACACGUGAGUAACCUGCCCUUGACUUUGGGAUAACUUCAGGAAACUGGGGCUAAUACCGGAUAGGAGCUCCUGCUGCAUGGUGGGGGUUGGAAAGUUUCGGCGGUUGGGGAUGGACUCGCGGCUUAUCAGCUUGUUGGUGGGGUAGUGGCUUACCAAGGCUUUGACGGGUAGCCGGCCUGAGAGGGUGACCGGCCACAUUGGGAGUGAGAGACGGCCCAGACUCCUACGGGAGGCAGCAGUGGGGAAUAUUGCACAAUGGGCGGAAGCCUGAUGCAGCAACGCCGCGUGCGGGAUGACGGCCUUCGGGUUGUAAACCGCUGUCGCCUGUGACGAAGCGUGAGUGACGGUAAUGGGUAAAGAAGCACCGGCUAACUACGUG
rnacentral:rRNA from 1 species